GAUGAACGCUGGCGGCGUGCCUAAUACAUGCAAGUCGAGCGAAUGGAUUAAGAGCUUGCUCUUAUGAAGUUAGCGGCGGACGGGUGAGUAACACGUGGGUAACCUGCCCAUAAGACUGGGAUAACUCCGGGAAACCGGGGCUAAUACCGGAUAACAUUUUGAACCGCAUGGUUCGAAAUUGAAAGGCGGCUUCGGCUGUCACUUAUGGAUGGACCCGCGUCGCAUUAGCUAGUUGGUGAGGUAACGGCUCACCAAGGCAACGAUGCGUAGCCGACCUGGGAGGGUGAUCGGCAACACUGGGACUGAGACACGGCCCAGACUCCUACGGGAGGCAGCAGUAGGGAAUCUUCCGCAAUGGACGAAAGUCUGACGGAGCAACGCCGCGUGAGUGGUGAAGGCUUUCGGGUCGUAAAACUCUGUUGUUAGGGAAGAACAAGUGCUAGUUGAAUAAGCUGGCACCUUGACGGUACCUAACCAGAAAGCCACGGCUAACUACGUGCCAGCAGCCGCCGUAA
rnacentral:rRNA from 1 species